UAGCUCAGUCGGUAGAGCAUCAGACUUU
rnacentral:piRNA from 8 species